CUGGACUUUAAUGCCUGAUCAUAUGGGUAUAAAUAUGACCCAUCUUCCUUCAAUAAAUCUGAGAAUGUUAUGGUAUUACACAGGCUCUGUGUCGGCUUGAUCAUUCUUAAUUCUGAAGACAACAGCUUGAAAACCAAGGUUCAUCAUGGCAAUGCUGAGAAGUUUUCUGCUUCUUUUUGUCAUCUUCUCCAUGGGGAAUGCAGCAGUCCGCCCAAGUUGCCCCUAUGGAUGGACAAAUUUGGG